GUUUGAUUGAUUCUCUGCUUCUCAACUAGGUGGCAAAGUGUUCACGAGUCAUGGCUUGGUUACCUCGAAUCUGCCUCACUUUAUGCUUAGUCAAAAAAUUCAUCAUCAAAUAGUAGCUUGAGAUGUUAGCUUUCAAAGUCUACAGGCUAGGACGAUUGAAGAUGGCAUUGUAAGCCGAAGGACUUCUUUGAUCCAGACGAUCACCCAAUGAUCAUAUAGAUUUCUCCUUAGAUGGGUCACUUUUCUUUCGCUAUUUGCCC
rnacentral:lncRNA from 1 species